AUGGGGACGGGGACGUGUCAUCCACAGGGACACAGAGGUUGUCCGGGCCGUGUCCCGUCACCAUGCAGACAGGGACGUGUCCUCCACAAGGACACAGAGGUUGUCCGGGCUGUGUGUGUCCCGUCACUGUGGGGAUGGGACGUGUCGUCCACAUGGACACUGAGAAUGUCCGAGCUGUGGUGCCUCCGGGCCGUGUCCCGUCAUUGUAGGGAUGGGGACGUGCCGUCCACAAGGACACAGAGGUUGUCCGGGCUGUGUCCCGUCACCAUGGGGACAGGGACGUGUCGUCCACAAGGACACAGAGGUUGUCCGGGCUGUGUGUGUCCCGUCAUUGUGGGGACGGGGACGUGCCGUCCACAAGGACACAGAGGUUGUCCGGGCUGUAUCCUGUCACUGUGGGGAUGGGACGUGUCGUCCACACGGACACUGAGAAUGUCCGAGCUGAGGUGUAUCCGGGCCGUGUUCCGUCACCAUGGGGACGGGGACGUGUUGUCCGGACUGUGUCCCGUCACCAUGCAGACAGGGACGUGUCGUCCACAGGGACACAGAGGUUGUCCGGGCCGUGUCCCGUCACCAUGCAGACAGGGACGUGUCCUCCACAAGGACACAGAGGUUGUCCGGGCUGUGUGUGUCCCGUCACUGUGGGGAUGGGACGUGUCGUCCACAUGGACACUGAGAAUGUCCGAGCUGUGGUGCCUCCGGCCGUGUUCCGUCAUUGUGGGGACGGGGACGUUGCCGUCCACAAGGACACAGAGGUUGUCCGGGCUGUGUCCCGUCACCAUGGGGACGGGGACGUGCCGUCCACAAGGACACAGAGGUUGUCCGGGCUGUGUGUGUCCCGUCAUUGUGGGGACGGGGACGUGCCGUCCACAAGGACACAGAGGUUGUCCGGGCUGUGUCCUGCCACUGUGGAGAUGGGACGUGUCGUCCACACGGACACUGAGAACGUCCGAGCUGCGGUGCCUCCGGGCCGUGUCCCGUCAUUGUAGGGAUGGGGACGUGCCGUCCACAAGGACACAGAGGUUGUCCGGGCUGUGUCCCGUCACCAUGGGGACAGGGACGUGUCGUCCACAAGGACACAGAGGUUGUCCGGGCUGUGUGUGUCCCGUCAUUGUGGGGACGGGGACGUGCCGUCCACAAGGACACAGAGGUUGUCCGGGCUGUGUCCUGCCACUGUGGAGAUGGGACGUGUCGUCCACACGGACACUGAGAACGUCCGAGCUGCGGUGCCUCCGGGCCGUGUUCCGUCAUUGUGGGAACAGGGACAUGCCGUCCACAAGGACACAGAGGUUGUCCGGGCCGUGUCGCAUCACCGUGGGGACGGGGAUGUGUCGUUCACACGGACACUGA
rnacentral:lncRNA from 1 species